UACGGAGGGUGCAAACGUUGCUCGGAAUUAUUGGGCGUAAAGCGCACGUAGGUGGUCUGUUAUGUCAGAUGUGAAAGCCCUCGGCUUAACUGAGGAAGUGCACCUGAAACUGGCAGGCUUGAGUACGAAAGAGGGUCGCGGAAUUCCCGGUGUAGAGGUGAAAUUCGUAGAUAUCGGGAGGAACACCGGUGGCGAAGGCGGCGACCUGGUUCGAUACUGACACUGAGGAGCGAAAGCGUGGGGAGCGAACAGG
rnacentral:rRNA from 1 species